rnacentral:rRNA from 1 species
UACGUAGGGACCAAGCGUUGUUCGGAUUUACUUGGGCGUAAAGGGCGCGUAGGUCGGCAUGACAAGAUCACGUUGUCGAAAUCUCCGGGACUUAACUCGGAACGGUCAAGUGAUACUGUCGCGCUAGAGUGCGGAAGGGGCAAUCGAGAAAUUCUUGGUGUAGCGGUGAAAUGCGUAGAUAUCAAGAGGAAUACCUGAGGUGAAGACGGGUUGCUAGGCCGACACUGACGGCUGGAAGCGACGGAAAGCCAGGGGACGCAAACGGG